AUGUCUGUCCCUUUUGCCCAGGGCCUGGAUUGCAAACUCGAUGCUCCGGCGACUUCAUCUUUGUCAGGACCUGGACUCGACUCACCAGAGUUUCAGGCAAGUCGACUCAACUUGGGGCCUGACAAUCCUCCUCCUUCCGACCACGGGAUCAACGGAGCCAAAAGUACCAAGAGGAGGAACUUGUUGGAAGCACUUGAACAACUUCAGGAGACAGAGUCCAUAGAUCUAGCAGUCUGUGCCUGCUACAUCCCGCAGCAACACCUGAGGAUCCAAUCCAAUCCACCAUUAGAAACGGAUACCACAAUGACCAUAUCACUUAGGCCCCUCCCAAUGCUCCAACCUGUAUCGAUUAAUGAAUUCCCAGCUGAGAAGGGCAUGCUGAUAUCUGUAUUCCUGAAAAAGAUAUUAACAAGAAUCUCUUGCGGGGCAACAACAGUUGGAAAUGACCUAUAUUCUCGGAGUUUUGGUGGCCGUCCGAUCUGGACGGCGAUUCACGCGAGCACACGUGGGGGCUGGGCCUCCGGAGCUGAGGAGGCGGGAGAGAGAUGCGCCGGAGAAGCGGCGAGCCAAUUCUACCGGUGGCCGGUGGUGCGCCCUCCUUCCCUAUUAACUUGGUUCCUUUUGACUAAUGGCCCCCUCUUGAAUUAUUCUCAAGCUCCGCCACUGGUGCGGUGGUCGUCCAACGCCGGCGCCGUCCCGUCCGUGGGUUGGAGUAGAGUCGUCGCAGCUUGUUCUCUCUCUACUAGCUACAUCACUAAGAUGGCAUUGGAAGAAUCCAAGACAGCCGGAAUUUGUUAUUACCUGUGUGCGAUCUUCUCAAUUGUAGACAUUGAAAUAGGCAUUGGGCCUAUUGACAAAUGCGGUAGCGCGAGGCCAAGCAAGGGGGGAGGGGGAGGGACCCCCCUCCCCUCCCCCGGCGAGGCCGACACAGGAAUGAGCCGGAGCAGGCGACGACGCGGCGUGCCGCGUCGUCGCAUGCGGAGGCGAGUCCGUCACAUCCGUGACCCCACUAUCUAUCUUAUGGUGUUUAGGGGUAUAGGGUGCGUGCGGUGGGGGUGGAAACAGAAUAACCGCAUUGCGUCCUGUCAAAUCCUAGCGCGCAGCAAUGCGGUAGCGCGAGGCCGAGCAGGGGGGAGGUGGGUAGGGACCCCCCCUCCCCUCCCCCUGCGAGGCCGAGACAGGAACGAGCCGGACAUGCGGAGGCGAGUCCAUCACAUCCGUGACCCCACUAUCUAUCUUAGGGUGUUUAGGUGUAUUUGCCAUCUAUUUUUGGUUUUAAGGAUAUCAUCAGUGCUGUUAAAACCCCUCUCCCUCUGUUGCUCGCUCUCUCCCCCCUCUCCGUCGCUCCGCUGCCUCCUUCGACUGCAACUCCCCCCGAUUUCUCUGCUCCUGUCCCCUGCCCUUGCGAGUGGAGUAACCGGCGCACUCCCCCGCUCCUAUUUCUCCCCCGCGCCGCGCUCUCCCUCGCCCAGCCCGCUCUCCUCUGCUCUGGAGCGAGGGCGGCAACUGCUUGCACGUGGCGUCGUGGGGAGUGAAAAACCGCCGCAGAUUCGUGCGUGCGCGGGUCGUUUGGAGAGGUACAAACGCUGCCCCCCGCCCCCUCCCCCCAUAAUGCUUGUAUUCACUUUUGCAAGAUCUGUGGAGGCCUGCCUGUUUGCUCUGUUUGAUCUCACGUCUGCCUCCUACCUCCUUUUUCUGAUGGUUGUUCUAGUGUUUGGAGUUGCAUUCAUUGAGGCGGUUGUGUUGUCAUGGCUUCAAAAUCUUCUCCAGAUUAAUCUUGUAUGUAGUAGCACCUCUGUUGGUGAUGAGUUGAAUAGUUCUGAAAAAAAUGUCUACGAUAAAGAUGGAGCUUCAGAAGUUAAUACUGAUGCUCCAAUAUCUGAUGCGGAUAAAUCACCCAUUAUUCCUUUGACUGUGAUUGCUGAGGUUGCUUCGAGCCUUGAGAAUUUUUCAAGCCUUGAGGAUCUUGCUUCUGCAGCUCUUGCUUCACCUAAUGUGUCCACAGAGGAGGAAGCUGUGAACACCAUCAACGAUGUUUUAUCUGAUUUGGGUUUAUCAGAAACCCCUGCUGCUGCUGAGGAGGGGGCUCUGUCAGUCAAAGGUUGUGAUUUCGUUCAGGAUCCUUUGUGCUCUCUUCAGAUGUCAAAGACGCAGUCGCAGUCCGUGGAUGGCACUGAACCUGUCACGCAACCCGAGGAUGUGCCUCUUCAGCUUCUCCUGGAGGACCAACGUAAGAGGAAGAAGCAAGAAGAUUUUGUCAAGAAGAGGGCGGCCCGCCUUAAGAAAGGUUCUGAUGUUCCUGGAUCUGUUCAUGCGGCUGAGCUCACUAUUGAGGAAGACGUGACGUGUGCUAGUGAUGGCACGGUUGUCCCUGUUAAGAAGAAAAUCAAGAAGACUGCUGCGAGGAAGCUAGUAGUUGGUGAAGUUACUCCUCGGAGGAUACCACAUGUUUCAAGGCCUGCAGAAGUUGUUGAAGAUGAAGGGUUAGGCCUUGGUGGUACGCCACGUCGUAGUCCUCGUGUGCUUGCCACUGCUGCGCCUACACCUUCUCCGCUUGGUGCUAGUGCAUCUGGUAAGGGGAAGAAAUGCGGCGUGAAGCGCAAGGUUCCACCUGCAAAGGUCAACAAGGGUGUGAAGAAGCGUUCUCGUGUUAAUCCAGAGGACAAGGAUGAUGAUGAUUUCAAUGUUGAUGAUGAGGACGACGUCGAUGAUGAUACUGCCGCUACUCAGUAUCAGCUUGUGGAGCGGCCUGAGAGGAGGAAGAGAGGAUGCAAAGCGCCCGAAGAAGGUGGCCAAGGAGGAGGUGAGGCGAAACGUUUUAACAAGAUGGUUCGCUGCUCACUAGGAGAGGUGAAGACGUGUGUGAAAAUGCUACAGCUUAAGCACAAGACGAGGGUCAUCAAGGCUGGUUUUGGUUGUGUGUUUGACCUGAAGGUUGAUUCCAACAUUUCUCGUCCUUUGAUGGGCAACAUCUACACAAGGAUUGACCCUGCAAUGAUGAUUCUGGACAUGGGUGAGGCGAACAAGGUUCUGCGUAUUACAAGUGAUGCUAUUCACCAUCUGUUUGGAUUCCCUCAAGGUGUUUUACCUGAUUGUUUUCAUGAAGGUGGUUAUCCCUGGAACAUAUGGACUACUGCCAGUUGGUUGUUGAUGACCUUACGAAGUGCUGUUGUUAGGUAUCAGCAAGGUACUAGCAGAGGAAAAGCUGUCACAGGCUGUGCCAUCGCGCCGCUUCUUAUGUACCUGGACUGCCUUAUCAUUGGCAAGACGCCUAAUGUUGACUUGAGGACGCCUCGCAUCAAUUACAUGGAUCAGGCCAAGCUUCUUGAGCUCGCUGCGGCUGACUUGGUCGGGAAAGGUGAUGACGACCCAGCCAACUGGGUGUUUGGGAGACUACCUUGGAAGACACAGGUUGAGGUUCUGUUCUUUAGGGUUAUCGAACGUCAUGUUCUUACUAUGCCUCGUGCCGCCGGCCUAGAUCCAGGAGGUUCUUCUGCCCGUGUGAGUGCUGCAGGUGGUGUUUCUUCCCAGAGUUUGUUCGAUGCUGCGAAUAUUUCCCUUUCUAGGAUUGAUGGACUUCUGGAAACUGUUUAUGGAGAGAUGGCUCGUGUUCCGACAAUGGUUGAGCGUCUUAGUUGCGUCGAUGGGAUUCUUCCUCCCGGCCACGGUUUUGAUGCUGAGUCUUCGAAGGAGCUAUUGUCGAUUGAAGCUAAAUAUCUUGCUGAGCUUCGUGAGAGCACUUCCCACCUCCGGGCUAGUUUUGUGCUAUUCAAGGAAAUGCAGGACACCCGUUGCAAGCCUUUUGAAGAUGAGGCGAGUAUUGUUGUGAGAGAGAUUCAGAGGCAAGAUCCGGCUGUUGAUGAUGGUGCUGGGGUUAGGGAGGAUGUUUUACCUGUGCAUGAAGAUGAUCCUGUGCAUGAAGUUGCCCCUGUGCAUGAUCCUUGCCCCUCUAGUGAUGUAUUAGUUGAUGAGGUUCGUGGCAGUGAAAAUAAGCAGCAGAAUGAUGAUGUUAGCGUUGCUCCAGAGAAGGCUCCACACAUGUCCGUAUCAGGCACCGGCUGCUUCGACGGGGUGGGCAAGACAACUGGAGACAUUAUUUUGGAGAAAGAUCUUGUUGAAUCUGUUGUACAAACUGGUGGUAGUGCUGCUGCAAGCCCGGAGAAGUCUCCUGCAGCAGAGCCAUCAGUUGAUGUUGAUGCUGUACAGGCACAACCAAAUGUUUUUCUUGUUUCAGAUUCUCCGGUUGCUCCAGCUGCUGGUGUCCUUCCCGACGACGCUGCAACGUCUACUGGAGACGACGAUGAAAAUACCGAAAGCGAUAGCUAUGGAGAGGAGGUUGAUCAUUCCAGUGCUGCCACUGAUAGCGACCUUGUUGUCGUCCGAAAGAAGGUUGAUGACUUUUAUUACAGUGUAACUAGGCUUAGGAAUGAUCGUUCCAAGAGAUCAAUGAUCAUGUUCCAAAACAAGGAGUGUGAAGCUUCUGUUGAAGAUGUCGCAAUAUCUUUUGGUCCUCGCGGAAUGCUUCGGUCUAAUGACAAGAUUUUCAUAGGUCAAUUUGAUUCCCGUGUGAGGAAGUACUUCAUGGCGAGUGGUCCAGAUAGAAUGGAUGCACAUGAUUCGGUUGUUUUCCCUACUUUUGACCCGCCUGAGGUUCCUACUUCCAUGGGUGGUGUCGAUGAAUGUGCGGUACGCCUAUUUCGGCGGAUGACCGACAACAUCAAGAGGCUUUGGAAGGAUGCCAGCAAUGACAGGGAGACACCCUUCAGUCUUCUUACCAUCGACAAUUUCCCUCUGGAUUGGAUUGAUGUCCCCCAACAGCAAAACAAUAUCGACUACGGAUUCUUCAUGCUUACGAAUGUUAAUUCGUAUCAUGACGGGGUUCUUGCAAAUUAUUCCCAUGAGAAUAUCGGGGAUAUCAGGAAGACGUGGCUGUACUCAAUCGCUUCUUCUAACAUGUUUGAGACAGACUUCCAAUCUCUGUUUGGCUACUACACAUUGGAUCCCUUGGAGUUGACCGAUUACCACUACUCAUUCCUCGGGUCACAGGAAUACCAGCCUAGGGAGGAACCGAUGAGUACAGCUCCGAUAGAAGAUGAUAGACCUCGGACCCUCAUUCCUUCCAAGUUGGGGCAGCAGGCUGGUGGUAUUAUUGGUACUCCAAAAAAACCCUGCUAUAGGAAGGCUGAUGCAGUCGAAGCAGCCGAAGCAGAAGUGAUUUCGUCCGAUGAUGAUUUUGAGAAGAUUGCUUACCCGAAGAAUGUUAAACGUGCUGCUGGAACCAUUGCUUGUAGAGGUGGGAAGAAUGCUGUGAUGACCAGGACGAACCCGGCAGUUGAGUCUGGGAACAUAACUAUCUCCAAGCGAGCAUCAAGAUUGCCUUUGAAGUGGCGUUCUCCGGUCGCUCCCCUGAAAAAAUACAGUUACCCUCAUCUAUCCAAGGCCCGGAAGUUGAAACAGACAAGCUACUGCAUGUUUACCAUCCCUGGGAAUGUGAUUGACCUCACAGGACAUGUCCUUUAUACCCUUUUCGGUGAAGGACAGCAGAUGGAAGGAGACAUAAUGGAUUAUCUCAUAAAUUUGUGGAAGGAUAAGCCGGAGACAUCUGAGAUAUUCACUAAUGCUCACAGGGUUAUGAAGAGAUUUGUUGGGUUGCUCGAGGAGGUGUACGGUAAGGCUGCAUACAAGGCGAGCAACUCUUCGUAUGACGGCGAUGAGAUUGUUGAAGAUUUUGGUGAUGUGGAAGCUGCUGCAGAUGACUGGAAGGCUGAGUUCAUGCACACUCUGGUUUUUAGCGAGAAGAAUGAAGUCAUGCGUUCAGAGCUCCCUAAAGAGAUCCAGUCCUUUGGCCCAUGA
rnacentral:rRNA from 1 species